GCAGCCGCGGUAAUUCCAGCUCCAAUAGCGUAUAUUAAAGUUGUUGCAGUUAAAAAGCUCGUAGUUGAACUUCGGGAUCAAUGAAUUGGUCAUGCCGUUGGUAUGUACUAAUUUUAUUGGUUCUCACCUUCUAAAGAACCAUAAUGUCAUUCAUUUGAUGUUAUGGGGAAUUAGGACUGUUACCUUGAAAAAAUUAGAGUGUUUAAAGCAGGCUCACGCUUGAAUACAUUAGCAUGGAAUAAUGAAAUAGGACAUCGCAUUCUAUUUUGUUGGUUUCUAGGAUCGAUGUAAUGAUUAAUAGGGAUAGUUGGGGGCAUUAGUAUUCAAUUGUCAGAGGUGAAAUUCUUGGAUUUAUUGAAGACUAACUACUGCGAAAGCAUUUGCCAAGGAUGUUUUCAUUAAUCAAGAACGAAAGUUAGGGGAUCGAAGACGAUCAGAUACCGUCGUAGUCUUAACCAUAAACUAUGCCGACUAGGGAUCGGAUGAUGUUGAUUUUUUAAUGACUCAUUCGGCACCUUACGGG
rnacentral:rRNA from 1 species